UACGAAGGGGGCUAGCGUUGUUCGGAUUUACUGGGCGUAAAGCGCACGUAGGCGGAUUGUUAAGUCAGAGGUGAAAUCCUGGAGCUCAACUCCAGAACUGCCUUUGAUACUGGCGAUCUUGAGUUCGAGAGAGGUGAGUGGAACUGCGAGUGUAGAGGUGAAAUUCGUAGAUAUUCGCAAGAACACCAGUGGCGAAGGCGGCUCACUGGCUCGAUACUGACGCUGAGGUGCGAAAGCGUGGGGAGCAAACAGG
rnacentral:rRNA from 1 species